rnacentral:rRNA from 1 species
GACGAACGCUGGCGGCGUGCUUAACACAUGCAAGUCGAACGGAAAGGCCUGCUUUCCCUUGUGGAUUGCGGGUACUCGAGUGGCGAACGGGUGAGUAACACGUGAGUGAUCUGCCCCCAACUUGUGUAUAAGCCUGGGAAACUGGGUCUAAUUCCCGAUAGGACUGCAGGGUGGUGCCUGUGGUGGAAAACGAUUUUCUAGUGGUUGGGGAUGAUCUCGCGGCCUAUCAGCUUGUUGGUGGGGUAAUGGCCUACCAAUGCGGGGACGGGUAGCCGGCCUGGGAGGGUGGACGGCCACAUUGGGACUGAGAUACGGCCCAGACUACUACGCGAGGCAGCAGUGGGGAAGAGUGCACAAGGAGCGGUAGCCUGAUGCAGCGACGCCGCGUGGGGGAUGACGGCCUUCGGGUGGUAAACUCCUUUCGACCGCGAGGAAGCCACCUGGUUGGAAGGGUGGUGACGGUAGUGGUAGAAGAAGCACCGGCUAACUACGUG